CACUCUCUCCUUUUUUUUUGCUUUGAAAUCUGCCAGCUCUUGGAAUCAGCCUCUACCAGGCCCCUCGGGUUUCGGGCUGGAGGAAGUGAGCAGGGAAGGUGGUUGGAGAUUUCUCAUUCUCCGAGGAAUAUGUUCGAUACAGACACCGCGGGUCUCCUUGUUAUGCUAGAAACCAGCGGUUGUUUGCACGUAAGGAGCUACCACACGGUAAUGAGGUGCAGCCAGAGGCAAAAUGACAUUUGGCGACGUCUUUUGUGUACUGCAGCCAGUGACUCUGAAUGGGAACUCCGGAGUAGCAUGCAGGGCUACAGAAUCACGUCUUGGAUCAAUGUGCCGCAGACACAGACUUCAUGGCCUGUAGUUAGAAACGGCUUCUUUCUCCAGUGUCAACCCCGCCGUAAAACACACCUAAAGGUCUAACAGGCAGAAUUGGUCACUUCAGGAUUGUUUGUAGAACACUGCUGCGAGGAGCGUUCUGUAGGCCGGCAGAAGAUGAUAUCAAGCCAAUGCAGCCACAUCCCAUGCUAAGUCGGAUGAGGGAGCCAAUGGAUUCUUCUCAUAGGUUGACAUGAGUCUUCUACAGCAGGCUUUCUGGACCCGAGGCCCUUGUUAGAGAUAUGAUUCGAAUGGACUGAGUUUGCGGUUGUGGGGAUGACCCUUGCAAUGCAUCAGUCAUGAGCUCUGUCCAUCUCUUGGUCACUGUCACAUAAACACUCUCGUGAGCUAUAACCCUCCAUCCCCGCAUCGCACAAUAGCCAGGAAGCUUUCCUCGGAGGAGGUACAGGGCAUAACUUUGUAAAGCUGUAAUAUUGUUAUUUAUGAAGCAUUUAGCAUGUGUGGAGGCCUUGUACAUCUUAAUUCAUUUGCUUUUCAUAUAAGAUCUAAUCUCUGGAGUUUUUUUUAAUUAUGAUAAAAAAAAUCACUCAAU
rnacentral:lncRNA from 1 species